rnacentral:rRNA from 1 species
GAGGAAAAGAAACUAACAAGGAUUCCCCUAGUAACGGCGAGUGAACCGGGAAGAGCUCAAAUUUGAAAUCUGGCGUCCUCAGGGCGUCCGAGUUGUAAUCUAUAGAGGCGUUUUCCGUGCCGGACCGUGUCCAAGUUCCUUGGAACAGGAUAUCAAAGAGGGUGACAAUCCCGUACUUGACACGACGACCGGUGCUCUGUGAUACGUCUUCUACGAGUCGAGUUGUUUGGGAAUGCAGCUCAAAAUGGGUGGUGAGUUCCAUCUAAAGCUAAAUAUUGGCGAGAGACCGAUAGCGAACAAGUACCGUGAGGGAAAGAUGAAAAGCACUUUGGAAAGAGAGUUAAACAGUACGUGAAAUUGUUGAAAGGGAAACGAUUGAAGUCAGUCGUGACCGAGAGGCUCAGCCGGUUCUGCCGGUGUAUUCCCCUCGGUCGGGUCAACAUCAGUUUUGUCCGGUGGAUAAGGGCGGUAGGAAGGUGGCACCCUCGGGUGUGUUAUAGCCUGCCGUCGCAUACAUCGGGUGAGACUGAGGAACGCAGCUCGCCUUUAUGGCCGGGGUUCGCCCACGUCCGAGCUUAGGAUGUUGACAUAAUGGCUUUAAACGACCCGUC